rnacentral:lncRNA from 10 species
AGUAUCGCAUGAUGGUGAACCGCGCAGUGCCAAACAAUCUCUUCUUGGUGCCCUUUCUUUCUUUUUUCUUUUCUUUUUUUUUUUGGUCUUUCAAAGAAAGGUAAGAAAGCCUGGGAAAAGAGCAAGAGAUACAAGAUACACUUGCCUUUCCUUGAGAAUUUCUAAAUGCUAUUUAUUAUCAAAUACAUUUUUCUUUUAAAUUGAGAUUCUGUAAUGGAGGAGGGGAGUAAAGAAGGAUAGAAUCUUGAGGAAGAAAUAAUUUAUAGUAUAUUGAAACUCGGGUGCGGUAUAUCAGUUUUAUCUGUUUUGGUACUUUAUUGAUUUCCCCCUGCCCCCAACUUGCUCCUAGGUUUUUGUAGUGGUUAUAUUAAUUUUUAUCUAGAAAUAUGUAUGUACAUUAACAGAGCAGUGGCAGAAAAUAAUACUUCUUUCAGUUGGGAGGAAGGUUAAUCAACAUAAUUAGAAUGUUUCUUCUGUUAUCUUAAUGUUCUGGUUAUUCUCCCUCAGACUUCAUUGCUUAAAAGAGACUAUAUGCUUUAAAACCAUAGUAGGCUAGUACCCAUAUGUCUCAUCAAUAUCACAUAUUGUUCAGGGGAGGCUUAUUUGAAAGUAAUGUGGCACAUUGGUUUUACCAGUGUUGUUUCUGAGGACUGUACCAUGGAGAUUCCAUAUGCCUUGCGGAAGCAGUUUUAGUUGGUGUUGAUAACCCAUUUUCACAAUAGGUUUCAUGGCAAUCAACAGUGUUUUGACCCUCAGUUUGAACAUCUGAUCAAGAAGGUUUUUAAAAUAAGAGCCUCAUUCUACUGAGGUCCACUAACUUCUCUGUAACAUGUGAACCAAACCCUAAAAGCAUUUCUUGCUGCUUAUCUACAAUAGAAUUGCAGAUUAUUUGUUUGAUCACAUGGGGCUAACAAUGGUACCCCUCCUGAUACUACUUUUUUUUCACAAAUUAAAGGAAAGAGGAAUUUGUGUUAAAAAUAAAGGAAGGAGGAAUUUGUGUUAAAAAUAAUAAAGUAUGUUUUCUUAUUCUUCUGGGAAGAGAGAUAACUUUCUGAGAAAAUUUAUUCUAGUUAUGAAGCAGAGGCACCGAAUCACACACUUCAAAUCUUUGUCACUUUUAACAAAGCUGAUUGAUUAUGUGAGUUUAUGCCUGUCACCUUUCCUUUGGUAAAGGAAGCCUUAGCUUUGUCUUUAAUGUCUGAAAUGUUAACAAGAAUAUCUUUAUGUAUUAUUUAAUAAAUUUUUUAUUUGAUAAGUAAAGUAGCAUUGUCACUGUAAAAAAAUUAGAAAAUGCAGAAAACAUGAAGGAGAAAAAUCAUUCCAUUAUUCUAUUACAUAAAGGGAACCUCUCUUAUUAUUAAGUGAUUGAUAGGCUGACAGGUUAUUUGCUAAAAGGAAAGCAUCCAACUAUCCAAGUUAGUUCUGGCACUUUUCUUUUUUAGUACUUGUUGCAGCUGAAAUGAUCUAAUCCAGGGGUGUUCAAUCUUUUGGCUUCUCUGGGCCACCUUGGAAAAAGAAGAAUUGUCUUGGGCCACACAUCAAAUACAGUAACACUAAUGAUAGCUGAUAAGCUUAAAAAAAUUGCAGAAGAGAUCUCAUAAUGUUUUAACAAAGUUUAUGAAUUUGUGUUCAGCCACAUUCAAAGCCAUCCUGGG